AGCUUCUCUUGAGUGUCAAUGCUGUUUUUGAAUAGCUGGAGGGUGAGUAGUCACCGAGUAAGGUAUGACACUAGCCCUCCAGCUAUUCAAAAACAGCAUUAACACUAAAGAGAAACUCA